GUUGUAUCUGUGAUCUAAUACCAUUGAUAGCUGCAAAUAUUUUGAAUUUCCAAAGGACUUUCUAUUAAAGAUGCUUUCAAAUGCAAUCACGUUCAAAAACCCCAAGACUUUUUUCUAGGGCUGGAACAGCCUUCUAGUUUGGACUGUUUUUGUCAUCACAGUUUCCUGGAGAUGGCAGCAAAGUACACAGAAGCAAAGGGACCAACCAUACCACAUAAACAAGCGGCAAGAUUAAUGGCGCUGUGCAGUUCUGGGGAUGACUGACGAAAUGCAUCGGCCUCUUCUGCUCUCAAGUGACAGGGCAGGUCCUGUGGCCUCUGAAAGUCUUACCUCAGUGACUGCUCAUGGUGCCGACCUCCUGGGUCAAGAGUCGUGUCUUCGCAGGAUCUCAAAGCCUCAGGCCUUGAAGGGGCAGAGAAAUGUCUUGGUUUGGAUGAUAAAUGAUAUGGUCACAGAUGCUUCAUUCCACCCUUGA
rnacentral:lncRNA from 1 species